GGUCUUCGGCAUAACUGUCCUUGUCGGUUUUCACCAACAAGGCCUCUCCUCUGUCUUUAGUCUUCCUCGCGGGUCGAGGUGCGUUCGACUUCCGCUUGGUUCUACUGGCCAGCUGCCAUUCACCAUCUUGUGCCGGUGGUCCCGGCUGGCUGGUACCUUGAGGCCCAACGCUUUGAGCCCGGUUGGUGACUUUCGCUUUUUUAGGCUGAGAAGUCGCCUUCUUGGGUCGCCGCCCUACGGGAUCCUUCGCACCCAGAUCCGCACCUUCCAAACGACGUUUGGCCUUUGUAGUUGCGCGUCGUUUAGCGUUGUCCCGAGCACCUUCACCUGGUGAGUGCCGGGGCCGCUUCGCGGUCUUGCCCUCCAAUAAGCUAUUUGUGGCCGUUAAAGCGAAGUAUAUUCGCUCUUGGGCCACCGUAGCUCCACCGAUGAAGGAGAAGGCCUCGGUUUGGACGGCUUUAUCCGCCUUCUCUCUUCCCGCCACCCUCUUCAUAUAUGCUUCCUGUUCUUGUCUUGCGACUCGAACAGCCUGGCGGAGCACCAGCAGGUUCUGUUUCAGUAAUGGUAAUGGUCCGCCAAGCGUGUUUGUAGGAUUAUCUCCUACCACACCUGAAGAUCCCCCGGUGCUGUUGGUUGCAGCUCCCGUCGCUCCGCUGGGAGGAGACCUCGCCAAACCCUCUUUGGCAAAGGGGUUCACCAUUUUUGUCAUUUCCUCCUCGUCUCCAACUGACCUCGCCAAACACUCUUUGGCAAAGGGGUUCGCCACCUUCAUCAUUUCCUCCUCGUCUCCAACUUUGCUUUAAUUUCACGACUAAUACUAGAUCCCACGAGUUGCGCGGGAAAAAAGGUCCGUCACGUCAGAGCUCCGCAUUAACGUGGUAAGGGACGCUUACUUUGGGGGGUACCCCACAGGCUCCGUUAGCGGUCAGGCAUCUUUUUCAUCCCACCCCCGACCACACAUCCUUCAGCAGGGGUCGCUUCACACAUUGGAUUGCGGGGUUAUCCCGUUUGAUGGGCUCAUACCACCGGAACGGGAGAUCCGUAGCGCUAUUCUAGGCCGGCCACUACACAUUGCGGUAUGUGCCAGACCGGAUAUAGCAGUGAGCGCUUCGAUGCUCGGAAGAAGUGUUAGUGCACCACAGGAGGAGAAUUCGGUAGCAACCAAACGUGUGGUCCCUUAUUUAAAUGCAACGAAACACUUGCAACUACGGUACGGAAAUAUGAUCAGGUAUUACGCGGACUGAGUUGGUGAUUACCAGAGUUAAAAUAUUCAAAUUCAUUGAAAAAAAAAAUGAUCAUAUUCAGCAACAUUCAUUUUUAAUAUUCAGUGACGCAGCUGAAAACGUCAAACGAACGAACCACCCAUUCAUCCAUGCAGAUUCAUUCGGCGAUUAUUAUACGAAGCGACCGUGCAGCAACGAAUCAAACGCAUCAAAGUAGUGUAACGUUUGUCAUGGGAAUCAAUGUUUAUAAACGUAGGAUAAUGGUCAAAACAAAGACAUUAUAGUUAGUUGAUAGAAAAAUCAGACAUUCUGGCACCACGGCAGCACUAUCUGGACGCUAUCUUGCACCCGCAUAUCUCUUCGCACAAAGUCUACAUCACUUUUGGCGGAAACCGUACAAGAGUAAAGUCUUUCUCACAAAGACAACCAAAACGCGAACAAGGCCAGUAAGCAAAGUCGCCAUCGUGAUAGUGACGCGCACCUGGGAAAAAACGUCGUGCGGAACUCAACAAGCAGAAGUAACCAAAAGACUGCGAAUCAGAUCGAAAAUCGUCGCAUGAUUUCUCAAGUCCGUAAACCGGAAAUCGCCGACCAACGCACGCUGUGAGUUUUGGCACGAGCACCACUCAGUUACGAAAGCCAUAUUGGAAAAUUACCAGGGUCCAUUCUAAAUACGGACAGUGGAUCGGAAAGUGACACAUCAAACGCACGUGAUCAUUUUAGCUUGAUUGGAUCCAUUAGCGCAAGCUGCAAUCAAGCAACACAUUCUCCUGGUUCGCCACGGGAGCCUUAUUCAGCUAAUAAGCCAAGCCGAGGGACCUAGAAAGAUUCAAACGGCGCCCAGCACACGCUUACGAGGAAGACGACUUUGAAGAUUAACAACGGAUCGGUACGAUCCCAUCUCGGAAGACAGCCCCGGAAAGGGGCCGUUUUCUCAGAUUUGCCUGAUCAGGAGGACGAUCUAUUAACGGAUUAGUCGGUCAUUACGGAAACGAGGACGAAGG